AUUGAACGCUGGCGGCAGGCCUAACACAUGCAAGUCGAGCGAGCGACGGACGGGUGAGUAAUGUCUGGGAAAAUGCCUGAUGGCGGGGGAUAACUACUGGAAACGGUAUGUAAUCCAGCAUACAAUCCGAUGUGCCCUGGUGGGAUUAGAUAGUCGGUCGGGUAACGGUUCACCUAGGGGACGAUCCCUAGCUGGACUGAGAGGAUGACCCGCCACACUGGAACUGAGAAACGGCCCAGACUCCUACGGGAGGCAGCAGUGGGGAAUAUUGCACAAUGGGCGCAAGCCUGAUGCAGCCAUGCCGCGUGUGUGAAGAAGGCUUUCGGGUUGUAAAGCACUUUCAGCGGGGAGGCGUUACCCGCAGAAGAAGCACCGGCUAACUCCGUGCCAGCAGCCGCGGUAAUUC
rnacentral:rRNA from 1 species